UGGGGAAUAUUGCACAAUGGGCGCAAGCCUGAUGCAGCCAUGCCGCGUGUAUGAAGAAGGCCUUCGGGUUGUAAAGUACUUUCAGUCGGGAGGAAGGUGGUAAGGUUAAUAACCUUGGCAAUUGACGUUACCGACAGAAGAAGCACCGGCUAACUCCGUGCCAGCAGCCGCGGUAAUACGGAGGGUGCAAGCGUUAAUCGGAAUUACUGGGCGUAAAGCGCACGCAGGCGGUUGAUUGAGUCAGAUGUGAAAUCCCCGGGCUUAACCCGGGAAUUGCAUCUGAUACUGGUCAGCUAGAGUCUUGUAGAGGGGGGUAGAAUUCCAUGUGUAGCGGUGAAAUGCGUAGAGAUGUGGAGGAAUACCGGUGGCGAAGGCGGCCCCCUGGACAAAGACUGACGCUCAGGUGCAAAAGCGUGGGGAGCAAACAGG
rnacentral:rRNA from 1 species